rnacentral:rRNA from 1 species
AAUGAACGUUGGCGGCGUGGAUUAGGCAUGCAAGUCGAGCGAGAAAGAUCCGGUGCUUGCAUUGGAUCUGGAAAGCGGCGAAAGGGAGAGUAACGCGUAGGGUACCUACCCCAGGUCUGGGAUAGCGGCGGGAAACCGCCGGUAAUACUGGAUAAUGUCCCCGGACCAAAGGUGAGAUUCCGCCUGGGGAUGGUCCUGCGUCCUAUUAGCUUGUUGGUGAGGUAACGGCUCACCAAGGCAAAGAUGGGUAGCGGGCGUGAGAGCGUGGCCCGUCUCACUGGGACUGAGACACUGCCCAGACACCUACGGGUGGCUGCAGUCGAGAAUCUUCCGCAAUGGACGCAAGUCUGACGGAGCGACGCCGCGUGCGGGAUGAAGGCCUUCGGGUUGUAAACCGCUGUCAGUGGGGUGGAAAUCGUAUGGGGCUAUCCCCAUAUGUUGACCUAACCGCAGAGGAAGUCCGGGCUAAGUACGUG